GUCUUUUUGAUUUUAAUAAUAAGUCUGGUCUGCCCAAUGAUAAUUGAAUGGCUGCAGUAUUUUGACUGUACAAAGGUAGCAUAAUCAUUAGUUUUUUAAUUGAAAACUGGAAUGAAUGGCUUGAUGAGAAAAAGACUGUCUCUAAAUUAGUUAUUUAGAAUUUUACAUUUAAGUUAAAAGGCUUAAAUUUGAUUAAAAGACGAGAAGACCCUAUAGAUUUUUACUUAAUGAGAUUUUAAGUUUUAAGAAUUUAUAAUUUAAUUUCAUCUUUUAGUUUAAUUGGGGUGAUUAUUAAAUUUAAUAAACUUUAUUAUUUUUUAACAUUGGUUUAUGGUUUUUUGAUCCAAUUAUUGAAAUAAGAAUAAAUUACCUUAGGGAUAACAGCGUAAUUUCUUUUGAGAGUUCUUAUUGAUAAAGAAGUUUGCGACCUCGAUGUUGGAUUAAGAUUAAGUCUGGUGUAGAAGUUGGACUGUUUGGUCUGUUCGACCAUUAAAAUUUUACA
rnacentral:rRNA from 1 species